CCUGCCCAUAUCUCACUGCCCUGCCCAGCCCAUAUCUCACUGCCCUGCCCAGCCCAUAUCUCACUGCCCUGCCCAUAUCUCACUGCCCUGCCCAUAUCUCACUCCCCUGCCCAUAUCUCACUGCCCUGCCCAUAUCUCACUGCCCUGCCCACAUCUCACUCCCCUGCCCAGCCCAUAUCUCACUGCCCUGCCCAGCCCACAUCUCACUCCCCUGCCCAUAUCUCACUCCCCCGCCCAUAUCUCACUCCCCUGCCCAUAUCUCACUCCCCUGCCCAUAUCUCACUCCCCCGCCCAUAUCUCACUCCCCUGCCCAUAUCUCACUGCCCUGCCCAUAUCUCACUCCCCUGCCCAUAUCUCACUCCCCUGCCCAAAUCUCACUCCCCUGCCCAUAUCUCACUGCCCUGCCCAUAUCUCACUGCCCUGCCCAUAUCUCACUGCCCUGCCCACAUCUCACUCCCCCGCCCAGCCCAUAUCUCACUGCCCUGCCCACAUCUCACUCCCCUGCCCAGCCCAUAUCUCACUGCCCUGCCCACAUCUCACUCCCCUGCCC
ensembl:lncRNA